ACAUGCCUACAACAUAACAUUAAUGCAGUGGAUCCCAUUAGAACUCUGCAGUUAAGCGCACUCAGGCUAGAGUAGUAUUCGGAUGGGUGAUCGCUCGGGAGGUCCCAGUGUUUUACAUGCC
rnacentral:rRNA from 1 species